rnacentral:lncRNA from 1 species
UCCCUGAGGCUUUAUAAAGCGGCACUAAUUCCCCACCUGAUCUCUGCAGAAAUACCGCAUCUUGCUGUACAACGGGGAUGUGGACAUGGCCUGCAACUUCCUGGGGGACGAAUGGUUCGUGGAGUCCCUGCAGCAGAAGGUGGAGGUGGCCCGGAGGUCCUGGAUCUUCAAGGACGAGGACGGCCAGGAUCAGAUCGGGGGCUUCGUGAAGGAGUUCGCCAACAUUGCCUUCCUCACCAUCAAGGGUGCCGGCCACAUGGUGCCCACCGACCAGCCACGGGCAGCCUUCAACAUGAUGCAGCGGUACCUCAACCGGCAGCCCUUCUAGGCCCGGGAGCAGCGCCUUUCCUGGGGAGACCAGCCCCCUCCCGCUGCCGCAUGGCUGCAAAGAGCGGCUCCUGACCGGCCUUGGGUGGGAUUCUGGAGGGUCUCUGGCCCUGGGCAGGUCCUCUGGCAGGGCCCUGUCUCCCCUCGCCCUUCUCUGCGCAUUUGCACUGUCCUCAGGGAGGAAGCAGGUCCCCUCGGUGGUGGGGGGUGCGUUUCUCAGCCUUCAUUCCGGCGGCUCUUGCAGGAGGAACUCGACGGGGGGUCAAGAGCAGCCAGGUUCUCUUUCCUGGUCCAAGCAAGCGAUUAAACUCUUAUUUUUCUACUGGAAAA